UACGGAGGGCGCAAGCGGUGUUCGGAAUUACUGGGCGUAAAGCGCGUGUAGGCGGUCAGGUAAGUCGGAUGUGAAAGACCGAGGCCCAACCCCGGAACUGCACCCGAUACUGCCUGGCUGGAGUCCCGGAGAGGAUGGCGGAAUUUCCGGUGUAGAGGUGAAAUUCGUAGAUAUCGGAAGGAACACCAGUGGCGAAGGCGGCCAUCUGGACGGUGACUGACGCUGAGACGCGAAAGCGUGGGGAGCAAACAGG
rnacentral:rRNA from 1 species